rnacentral:rRNA from 1 species
AACGAACGCUGGCGGCAGGCUUAACACAUGCAAGUCGAGCGCAUCCUUCGGGGUGAGCGGCGGACGGGUGAGUAACGCGUGGGAACGUUCCCUCUUCUACGGAAUAGCCUCGGGAAACUGAGAGUAAUGCCGUAUACGCCCGCAAGGGGAAAGAUUUAUCGGAGGAGGAUCGGCCCGCGUUGGAUUAGGUAGUUGGUGGGGUAACGGCCUACCAAGCCGACGAUCCAUAGCUGGUUUGAGAGGAUGAUCAGCGACACUGGGACUGAGACACGGCCCAGACUCCUACGGGAGGCAGCAGUGGGGAAUCUUGGAAAAUGGGGGCAACCCUGAUCCAGCCCUGCCGCGUGAUCGAUGAAGGCCUUAGGGUUGUAAAGAGCUUUUAGCUGGGAAGAUCAUGACGGUACCAGCAGAAGAAGCCCCGGCUAACUCCGUG